CGUAAAAACACCGGUUCCCAUAAGAUCACCGAAGUUAAGCAAUGUCGAGCCUUGUUAGUACCUAAAUGAGUGACCACUUGAGAAGA